AGUGCAGAACUCUGAUUCCAGGGAGAGGCCAGCUUACCAGCUUUUAGCGUCCCUUGGAAGGACCUAAAGCCUGAAGGAGGAACCUGCAAACCCUGGCUGUGCAGCAGGACCACGGCAGUCUCAAUGGAGAAGGGUUUUUUCAGUGGUGGAGGAGUUAAAUCUGCUACCUGAGUAAGCAGGCUGUUCCUUCCCAGGGACCAGCUCCCAGGUCAAACAGCACUGCAUCAAUCACAUCUCGAUAUUCACGCUCCUCUGGGAAGUCCUGUGAUGUUCAGAAAUGACUGCUGGCUGCCCUUUCACACACAGAAUUAACUAUUCCCAGUUGUUACUACAUAGUAGCGACAUGCAGACUCAGAAGGAGAAUCCUGAAUUUCCAGCUCUAUUUUUAAUAAACACCAAACCCUUUAAAAGCCGUUGACUGAUGACCUCAUGGGCAGCAUCCCACAGCCCGCAGACACUGAUGGGAGGAGAGCUCCUCUGGGAACAGAGCUCAUCAGCAGAGCACCAGGGACAGGAGCUGGCACCCCAAUGGCACGUGCUGGCCAGGACAUGGAGAACUCCUGCUUAUGGUUCUGGAUUAGAAGAUGCUCAUUUGGAGGAGAACCCUUAAACGUAACUCCCCUAGAAACAAAUGGAUACGCUAUAUGAGUGUGGAUUACUCCUGUUCUGACCAGCAGCUUCCACACCAACAUCCCAGGGACAACUGGCAGAGUUAUACCAAGUAUUACCUGACCACUGUUGACUACUGGAAAUCAACAGCCUUCACUACAGUCUCGCAUAGAGGGGUGGCAGUGAAGAAAAGUGGCAGCAGCCAUGCUACCCACGCCUGCCUUGCACAGUCAUUCCUGUACUUCGUGUGGAGCUGCCUUGUCUGCAGGGUUUAUGCACACCCAGUGCUAUGACUUCCUGAAAGAUGUAUUUCUGUUGAAUGGCUUGAAUUGAGAAAGUGCUGACUUGUAGAGAAACUGCGCUUUUUUUCCCCCUUGUUUUCUGUAACAUUUCCUUAUCCAUCUCUCUUCAGUGUAGGGCUGGGAUUUCUGGACAGAAAGCUUUAGACACCCAAGCCUAUAACUGCAAUGGACUGGAGUUGAAUUAAAAUCACAGGUUUGCCUAAGAGCAACAUUUCCCACAUCUGCAGUGUGGCCUGGACUAUUGCAGAUAAGAGUGAAGUCUGCCAUUGUACAUCUGUGAGCUUCCUUGCAAGGGGUCCACUUGGGCAUUUUUGUUCUUCAGCACCCUAGAAAUGUGUAAAUGUUUAUUACCAGCAAGCUGCAGUUCAUGAUUUAUCUUGUGGUUAACAGGGUUUAACUUGUGAUACCACUUCUGCAGUAUUUGAUGGGAAAGGCCAGGUACGCUGCUGCUUGAUUGAAGGUGGCUGGGAUUUCCCUCUUCUUUCACUGGGUGCCCCUCAAGUCUGGAGGGGCUAGAUGGACAAGUGCUCCCUUUUAGGGCCUGACAAGAUAGUGUUCUCAUGUUUUUGAAAGCAGUGAUUACCAGAAUUGCUCAAUGUUGUAGAAGAGUGGGACCUCAUGAAAGCCAUGGCCUGAGGCAACGACUAAUUAAUGUUAUCUCAGCACUGCUGUAUGUGUGUGUGUACCUUUCACACUGCUUGCUAGCUCACUUGUCGAGAGUGAGAAGGAUGUAUGAGAGCAUGAGAAAUCAAACCUAGUUUGUGACUAAUAGAUCUGAUAGGGAUCCCUUAGUAGUUAUCAUACAGCAGAUUGAGAUCCGUCUCAGGAGUUUAAGAACAUAAACAUUAAAUAUAGCCGUAC
rnacentral:lncRNA from 7 species